AAUAAUUAUAAUUGACAUAGAUAAUAAUAUAAUAUGUAAUAUACCACGGAUAAAAUCCAUAGAUACAUUAAUUAUUUGUCGUAUGGUAUACUUAAUGAUAUUAUUUUCGGUUCUUUCGGGCCAAUGGUAUCACGAAAAAAUAAUAAAUAUAAAACUGAAAGAUAAGUUAAAGGUUUGUAAAUUGUAACUUACAAGUGACAUUUGUAUUUCGCGGACACUUAAAGUAAUUAAUAUUAAUAGGCUGUAUAUGUUUGGAAAACGGACCGAAGAUUGAUGAAGAUAAAUUAUGAGCAAAGAAAUGGAAGGAACAAGACCACGAGGAAGAGCACGUCGACGAUGGGUGAACAGUAUACGAGAGACUAUAAUGGAACUAACAUACUAACCAGAAGUGGACUGGAAUAUAGCAUAUAAUGAAAAGAAUGGAUAGGUUUCGUCCUAGUAGCUAAAAGCCUAAAUUACUUAUAAGGCUAAUAAUAAUAAAAAGAAGUUAUUAAAAACGUACUAAAGAGACCAACUAACUUUACUACAGUGAUUAAAAAAGGUAGUGCCUAAAUAUUAUCAUCGGCCCCCUAGCCAAACACUCUAUAAAUACAACUUAAUAUAUCUAUUUAAUAUCAAUAUACAAAUCAUAUUUUCUUACAUUGUUUAGUAUAAUAAUAAUAAUAAUAAUAAUAGCAAUAAUAGCUACUAAGAACCUAAUAAUUAAAAUAUAAUAUAAUUUUCACUUUUAAG